AUUGAACGCUGGCGGCAGGCCUAACACAUGCAAGUCGAGCGGAGCGGCGGACGGGUGAGUAAUGCCUAGGAAUCUGCCUGGUAGUGGGGGAUAACGUCCGGAAACGGGCGCUAAUACCGCAUACUAUCAGAUGAGCCUAGGUCGGAGUAGCUAGUUGGUGGGGUAAAGGCCUACCAAGGCGACGAUCCGUAACUGGUCUGAGAGGCUGAUCAGUCAACCUGGAACUGAGACACGGUCAUGACUCCUACGGGCGGAAGCGGGGGGGAAUAGGGGACAAUGGGCGAAAGGCUGAACCAGCGAUGCCGCGUGGGCGAAGAAGGUCUUAGGAUUGUAAAGCACUUUAAGUUGGGAGCGGUUACCAGGAGAAUAAGCACCGGCUAACUACGUGCCAGCAGCCGCGGUAAUAC
rnacentral:rRNA from 1 species